CCGCCUCACACCGCGCCGCCACCCGCGCUGCCCCUCGCCCCGCCCAUCGCGCCGCCGGCUACCGCGCCCUCCCCCGUGCAGAUCCGGCAUCCUUCCCCCGCAUCGUCGACCUCCGCCGGCACCUGCGCCCUCCGCCGGCAUCUGCAGGGACGUGCAGAGCGUGGCGCAGCAGCAGCGGGGCAAGCGACGCGAGCAGGGGCGCAGCAGCAAGGCGCCAAGGCAGGGAGGCAGCAGGGCAGCGGGGCCGCAGGCUUGGCGUGCAAGCUCGACGCUACCGGAGUCAGUGCUGGGCGCGAGGCCUCUGCCCAUGGUGACCGCCCAGAUCUAGUGGCUUAGCCCCUGGCGGCGUGCGCGACCCCCAGCCCCCCAAAGGCAGCCAGCUGGAGGCCAACAAGAAGGCCAUGAACAUCCAGGCCUCCACCUCUUCCUAAUCUAGAGGUUUCAGUUAUGGUUGUUGAGAAAGCUGCAGAUCAUGCUCUUGUAUGGAUCAAUAGGUUGCUCGCUGUUGGCGAUGGCAUCACAAUUAAGAGAGAUGGGAGAGUUUUUAUACAGGACACCUGCUCAAGCGUGGGUUCUGCUUGCUAUUUCCAUGUGGCCUUGUUGCACAGUUGAUGCUCCUUGGGCUGGAUGUGAUCUGCUGAUACAUUCCUGGCAAGUUCUUCAGGAGAGCUAGUGGCUGGGUGCAAAGGAAUUUAUGAUAUGGAAGGCUUAAGUAGUGCUCUGUACCACAACACAAUGUUGGAGAAAAGAUAGCUACUGAUGCUCAGUGCUCUGGCGUUCUGCGCAAGCUGCUAAACUAAGAUAGGAAUCUGGCCUCCUCUGCUACCUUCCUACAAAUACCUAAGCAAUUCUGUAGAACUUGAGACUGGCAAUUAUGAAGAACUUCAAAUGGUGAGGUCAGGGUAGCAGUAAAAUGGCAUUGCAUUUGACUGACAAAGUGGCAACAUGGUUGUCGUGAAAUUCAGGACUGCUAUAAUUAGGCAUAAAGCCUUUGGUUAAUAUAGAAGCCUGCCAGGUAACAAUCAGUUACCAAAUUAUUUAGAACUGUUGAUGACCUGACUUUUAGUUUUGGUGGAGCAGUUGAGGUAUAUAAUGAUUUGCUUGAAAAUUAUUUAUUCUUUUGCUACAUCUGUCUGAAGCUAGUUGAAACUCAGUUACCAAAUCCAGUUUGUAUUGAGCUAUUCAGUUGUUGUAUGCAAUAUAUUGCUGCUUUUUUAGGCAUUGUUAAGAAUCUGUUGUCCUACAUGUCCUCGGUAGUCCAGUUUGGCUUCUUAGACAACUUAUUUUGUUGGAAUAAUUUCAACCAUUUUGGUGUGUGCAAACUCCAUUAGUUCUACCAGUUGCUUAUUUAUAUACUACAUCUUUCUCUGCUUCUAGUGUGGAUGCCCAGUGUUUCACAAGAUUUUAGGCAAUUAUUAUUGUGAUUACCAUUUAUCAAAAAAAACCUGCUGUUUACCAGUAAAGAUAACUUAGCUUAUACAGCUUUGGAGAAAAACAUGAUAUAUUCCUUACUAAGAGUAGUGCUUUUGCUGGUUUGGAAAUGGGAACGGUGGGUGAUUGACUUCAAUCUUAUCCUCUAGGUCAGUAUUAUGUUUUUCAUUCCUAUAUUAUCAACUCAUUUUUCCCAUACAUGUGCAACUCAGCAACCUAUUCUAUCUUGCCAUCUUGGUGCCUAAUAUGAACCUGCUGCAUCCAUCACUAUUGCAUAGAUCAAUGUGAAGUAACAAAAAAAAAAGACCAUGCUUUAUAAUCUGAACCAUGUGUGAUUGGCCAUAUAAAAUUUCUUUUAGCAAUGUCUUUUGUCUGCUUCCACAUUUCCAAAUCCAUUUGUUUCUCAAAAAGUUAUUAAAUUAGGGGAUAAUAUAUAUGUGAAUUUGAAACUAGAGAUCACCUUUGGAGUCACAAGAAUGAUCUGUCGAUGUUGUAGCUCCUUACUGUUAGUGGCACAAAAAUACAGAGUGCCCAAAAUGUAGCCAGAAAGUUCUUCCAAGCCAACUUGUAAAAAUUACAAAACUAACUUACUUGAAAACAUACUUGUAUUUUGUCUGCAUAUUUUGGGUUCAUAUAUAGUUGCAGAAUAUGCAUCUUGAUGCAUAUUUUUGGUUCAUAUACACAUGCGAGGAGCGACGACGCGCAUCUACCUCCUCCGCUCCGCCCCUCCCGCUCUGCUUCCCGUGCCGUCUCGCCCCUCAUCGCCGCCCGUCUUCUUCUCCAUCGCCGUCUACGCGCUUGAGGAGGGAAGAGGAGCCGCAGCGCUUGGAUCCAGGGGCGGCGGCGUCCAUCCCGUGUGAGAAGGGAGAAGGAUCCGGUGAUAUCUACUCACAGCUCUCUCUCUCUCUCUCUCUCAGCGCGUCUUGCGGAGAUUCCUCGGUGGAGCUGCUCCACCAAGACGGUCGCUCCGCUUUGGGACUUGGGAGCACUUAUGCCCUAAAGUGAAGUGUUACCUUAAACCCUAAACCCUAAACCCUAAACCCUAAAGAUAAGAAAGCACAGUAGUAGUUGAUGAAUGUUGUUACCAAUGAUUGAAAGUGACCUGUCUCUUGUUGUGGAACCUGAUUCUAAUUUGAUACUACUGUAUUGUAUAUUCAGUAUGCCAUUUCAGUGCAUUUUAUACAGAGAUUUUUGUUUAAUAUAAUUUGUGAGAUUUGUGUUUAAUAUAAAGGGCAUGAGAUUUGUAAUCAAUGCAUGUCAUGUUGGCUUCAAUUUACUAACGGGCUAAAUCUAAAGGCUGUACAUCUUUCCCAGCUGUGUCCCAAAAACUCUUAACCACCACAGCAACUAGAAUCGCAGUUAGUGAGACAUACCACAGUUGUACCACAGUUUCACCACCACAGCAGCUAUAAUCGCAAUUAGUGAGACAUACCACAGUAGUACCAUAGUCCAAUGUUCUUACUGUCGGAGGGUACCAUCUUGAAAGUUUUUGGCCAUAGCUGGGAAAGAGGUACAGCCUCUAGCUGGGAAACAAGCCCUUAAUUAAGCAUAACAUGCCUGCCCCAAAAUGCAUCACACUUCAAAACCACACACAGAGGUGUCCGCUAAAUCAUGGAUACCUUUUUUCUUUCUUCUGUAUUUAUUUUAGCAUCAACAAGAUAUUAGCAAAUCACAUACCUCAUAACUACCUAGACCAUGUUUUUCAUCACAAUGCCUAUUGCCACAGAUAAGACGGAAAACGUAUAUAUUUACAUAUACUUAUACCUGCUCACACACAUGCAACCACAUCUAACCAUGCCAACCUACUAACAAAUCACAUCAGUAACAUUAUAUUUUUGAUAUUCAUUUUUCUUUUACUAACAUUUUCUUAAAGUUCUUAUUAUAAAACCUCUAAUUAGCCUAGGCUACAACUACAACAUAUAUCUCUGUUGACCCAAAAAUUCUGAGAAAAUUACAGAAGCUAAGUGACACUCUAUGGAGUCUACCACAAAAUUUGUAUCCUAUUAUGAACAGUACACUGCCCUACACAAAAAUGACAAGCUGCAAGGCAGAAAAUCAACCUAAAAUACAUUGUACUAUGAAAUUCAUCAGAUUACAGAUUUCAUAUUUUUCCUACCUACAUCCUAGUAUGACAACAGCACACAAAAAUUUGUAUGGUCAUAUCUGCAGUAUUUAUUGUUUUAUGAUUUUCCAAAGGAAACUGCAGUUUUCAUUUUUGAGCCAUAAACCCAUUUUAUUACAUACAACAUGCAUGCAAAAACUUUAUCACAGUACAUCUCACAAGGAAUCUAACAAGCCAUUAACCAUAUAUUUUUCUGAUUUACCAAUUAUUUACUGUGAUUUAAUAAAGGAAAACACAGUUUUUUAUUUAAAUCUAAGCUCUAUAUAAAAGUAUCUGGAAAUCAAUAUUCAACAUUUUUAGACCAUAGAUCUAGUCAUAAGAAGCAUUACAAAAUUUACUUCACAAUUUUUGGAGCUCUAGAACUCCAGAUAUAAAUUUAUCAAGCAUUUGCACAAAAGAAAACAGAUAAAAGAAAACUAUAAACGAAAAACAACUUGCAAGCAGGCCCCUGGAAAACCUCACAGAUCUGCCCCUAAGAACACUAUUGCACUGAGUCACUGGCCUCUCACUUACCCCCCUCACCUUCCUCGGAUUCAAGCGCGCAGGCCCUCGACCUCACUGGAAAAGAGGGAGAAAGGAGAAGAGGUGGCCGGCGAUGCGGUCGGCCGGUCUCCGGCGAAAAGGAGGUGGGAAACGUUCGAUUGAGUGGUCAGAGAGCUGCUCUGGUGGACGGCGGGUCGAUUGGUGGCGGUGAUUUGAGCUGGGGUGGUCUGUGGAUGGCUGGCCGCGAGCUCCGGCGGACGGUGGCGCGCGGGAACGGCGGCGAGGGUGCUCUGGUGAGCGGCUCGGUGCGGGGAAAGGUUCAAUCGAACCGGGGAGGUGGUGUGGAGCUGCUGGUGGUGUUGGUUUGAGGCAGAGAGGGCUCGGUUGGUGGGACCGCGAGCUUGCCGACGGCGGCAAUGGCGGUGCUCCGCGGAUCCGCCCUGUGUGUGCAAGAGAGCGAGGGAGAGGAAGAGAGUGGACGGGGCGAGUGCGGAGUGAGGCGAGGCGUGCUCCACUUCGGUCAGACAACAGGCGCAGACGUAGAAUGGAGCAGCGACGGCCGACGUGCACACGGCGCAUGCUCGCCACGCCGACUGGCAAGGCCAUGCGUCGAGCACCGUGGUGAUGUGACUGGCACCCACUUCAAACGGGAAAAGCUGUGUGCUACGGUGGUUUUCAUGCAAAACGAUAUAAAACAAAGUUGUAGCUCGUGCAUUCCCAUGGUUCCGCUAGGCGCUAGGCGGAUUCUAUUCGCUGACCCUCAGCCUAGCGCCUAGGCGGGAUUAAUCGCGCCUAGGCGUUGCUAGGCGUUCUAUAUCCAUUCAUAUUUUACCUACAAAAGUCUAUUAGAAAAGAAAAAAACAGGACACAUGUGGGCCAAAUAUUACAUAAAAAGCCCAUAAAACAGCCCAAGCCCAAUUUGUACAGCAACCUUAUCUACCUCAUCCAACCCUAUCCCUUCCAUCCCGACCGUGCCGGUCGCGGACCCCGUCCCAGCCUCCUCCGCGCCGUCGCUGCCCCUGUUCCCGCCGCCUCCGCGCCGUUCGCCACCUCCGCCGCCCCCGUCCCCACCUCCUUCGCUCCGGUCGCCACCUCCGCCGCCCCCUUCCCCGCCUCCUCCGCGCCGGUCGCCACCUCCGCCGCCCCCGUCCCUGCCUCCUCCGCGCCGGUCGCCACCUCCGCCGCCCCUGUCCCUGCUUCUCCGCGCCAGUCGCCACCUCCGCUCGCCUAGAUGGGCGACUACCCCCCAUAGGCGAGGUGACGGGCUUCGCCCAGCGCGUAGUCGCGCCUAAUCGCCGGCUAAUCAACGCCUAGCGGAACAGGGUGCAUUCCUCUACCGCUUUGAUUAAGCACUUUCUGUCAAUUGCUCACUGGUUUGGAAGUUAAUUAACCCUUAAUUAACCACUAUCAGUGAGCUAAUCACCGAGCAAAGUUGAUGUCAAAACCUUGUCAAAACACUUCGGAUUGAGCCCAAAAUUUGACAUGGUGUUCCUCAUAGGAUUAUUAACAACUUUUACAUUUGGAGUUGCUCGAGUUGUUACACAAAAAUCUGAGAACAUGUCAUGUCAAGCAAUAGGUACAUGAAAAACAGGUUUUGAAAAUAUUCUAAGUGCUGAAAAACAUUUCAAAACUGCAUUCAAACUACUUUUUGAGCACUUUCCACACAUUUUCAUGACUUGGCCCAAAACUAACUUUUGUUCUACAUGAAAUUAUCUACAACUUUUAUUUUGGGCCCACAGCCAUGCAAAAACUGUAGCUAGGGUUUCCUGUUUGGUCAAACAAAACAUGUUUUAUGGACUUAUUUAGUCAACCAUUAUUUAGGGGCUUAAUUUGGUGAAAUGUCCUACAUGAACAUUGCUCCAAAUGAGACCCUAAGUGACCCUAGACAUGUUUAGAGGUUAACUAAUACUUUUAUCAACAUUUUACAUUAUGGUCUAAAGUGUAUUAAGCAUAAUUAAGUGCUUUACUUAGCAAAUUUCACAUUUUAACAUGUAAGCUCACAUGUGAUAAAGAUACCACACUAUCAUGUCAUGCUUUCUAGGGCAUCCUAGGUUAGUUUAGCAAACAUGUAUCACUCAUUUAUAAACAAGGCAUCAUGAUCAAAGCUCUAGGUCUUAUAAAACACUCACAUUUCAACAAGACAUGGCAUAUACAUGAAAUAUCAAGCACUUAGGUUUUUGAUGUGCAUGUCAUGGAUGCAUAAGAUGAUGCUUAGGUAUGAAAUGCAUGUGCUUAGAUGCUUAACACCUAGGGGUGUUACAGCCCUCCCCCACUUAUAGGAAUCUCGUCCCGAAAUUUAGGGUUACUAACCAUUGUUUGUAAAAGUCGGGGUAAACCUCACGUAGGUAGUUUUCAGUCUCCCAGGUUGCACCUCACUGUAAAUUCGCUGGUUAAAUUAAUCUUUGUAAUAAGUUCAGUAUACUCCAGUGUUGGUCACUUCAUUCGCGUCCAGUGUUGGCCUCCAUGUGUUAGUGUUGAUGGCUAGAACUUGUAGAAAAUUUUCCAGGUUCUGAAUGAUGUUGGCUUUGCAUCUGUUAGCCGGCAGCAGCAACUUGUUUUUGUAUUAUGAGUAUGACUUUAGUUCAGCGCCAAUAACAACAGAAAUUUGACAAGUUCAGAGACCAACUCUGCUAUUUCAAUUCAGUUGUGGAUGAACCAGAUUAUUCUGAAUGUGGACAUAGAUACAACUGGAAACUUUGUAUGUAUUUGUGAUUUGUUAUUGGAAAAUCUGGCAAUCGUAAUUCGUAAAUGUAUUCAGCCUCGGAAUGUUGUCAUAGAAUUUUAAUAUGUUUCAUGACUUAGUGAUGGAUCUAUAUAUAUGCCUGUCGUGAUGGAUCUGUUUAUAUGCGUGAUCGUGAUUGAAAUUUAUAUGCUGUUAUAACCUGUAUAAAUAAAAAUCAACAGCUGUUUUUUUUCCACGGAAAAGCAUUAAUUUCGUCGGCCAAAGGAACCGACGAAAAUAACUUACACGUGGACUAUUUUCGUCGGCCCCAGCAGCCGACGAAUUUAUACAUGGACACGUGGCCUGGCCCACCGUCCUCAAUAAGUUUGUCGGCCUGAUCCAGCCGACGAAUUUAAUUACAAUAAGUUCGUCGGGUUAUGUUGGCCGACGAAUUUAGUUGCCGAUGGCAGUUAAAUUCGUCGGGGAAUUCAGGCCGCAAAUUAACUCUAAUUUCGUCGGUCCCGACGAACUUAACACCUUAAUUUCGUCGAUGACCUUAAUUAUGGGGAAACUAUUAGAGAUGCACACAUUUAUCUGCCAUCAGACCCCACAGAACUGAUGUAUUUGCUUGGGCAAUGUAGUACAGAAGACUUCAACUUAGCAUCAUGCCAAUGUGCUAUACUUUCUAUAUUGUAUGCCUGUUCAUUCUACAAUGAAAGGCUGGCUGCUGACAACCAAAUUCUGGCUUCUGUUGAGCAAUACAUCCUCCUCAAUAGUGGAAGCUUCCCAUACGAAAUUAAUUUUUCUGUUAUGUUUACGCUUCUGGUCCACCUUUAUGCCUAUGUCAGGGGCAUUUCCUAUAGCUGCAGCAUUCCACAGUCCAGAAGCCGAGAAUACUCUAUUCCACGUAAUGACACAAAAGGAUUGGGAUUUGCUUGCUAUCCGAGUCCAUCCAAUAGCAAUAAAAUGGCUCUUCCAGAAGCAAGAACUCAUGGAACCACUCGCCUUCCAUAUGCUAAACUUUUGUAAAACUUUCUGUGAAGAUGAAACUAUCAUGCUCUCAAACAGCAGUCAGUUGGUGGACAUACAAAUGGUUGCAGAGCUGGUACUUUCUGGAGAAACCGUCAUCUCAUUUUUGCUUGUGUCCUUGCUAAACCAGAUAGUAAAGGAGGGUACUGAAGAUGAGGUCUUUUCGGUGGUCCGUGUUAUAGCCGAAAUCAUCACCAUCUCUCCUUGUACAUCUGAUCAGUUUAUAUCAUGUGACAUUGUCAAUUCAUUCCAUGUCAUAUAUUGCUUACCAUACUGUUCAAGGAUCCAAACAGCUUGUUCCCAUUUGAUCUUUAACAUCUUAUGUUCAGCAAGUGCAUUGACAUUUGCUCAGGAAAAUGAAUGGCUUCCUCUUACUGUGAAGGUACUCUUGUUAUGUUGAUAUGAGUUGAACCAUGCAAGUCAUGACUCAUAGCGUAGUUUUAAUCAAUUUAAACAAUAUUAUUUGUUGGUUAUUAAAAGUUUCAUGGGAUGACUAUGAUUUAUGCCCUCGGUAUUCCAUGCCAUGAUUUAUGCCUUCUCAUGCACUUCGGUCCACCUUCUGUUAAACUUAUUGCUUCACAAUGUCUGUUGGAGUUGCUAAUGAGAAUUUCAGAUCAAAGAACAUGUACUAAUGCUGAAUUAAGGUGCUCUGUGAGGUAUCUGAAGUCCAUUAUUGCAGUAACUGAGGGUUUGGUCUUCAGUGAAGACAGUAAAGUUGCUGGAAAUUGCGGUGCCUGUCUCUCUGUAAUUUUAGGUUGGGAGAAAUUUGGAAGCCAAGAGAAGGUGGCAGCCAGAGAAUCCAAAUGGUUUCGAUUAAUAAUGUUGGAAUUUGCUGUUGCCUUGACUGCUCCUGGUUUGACGUCCAAAUCUUUCACCAAUCAGCAGGAGUUUGCAGCGAAUCUAGCUGUUUCGUUGCUCAGGCUGAGCCAAGUACCAGAUUGGCUAACAUCGCUGUUUGAUAGCCAUCUGAUAUCUGGUAUUGUGGCUAAUCUUUCUGCUAGGAAUGUUACUGCAGAAAUUGUCACUCUUCAGUGAGCUCAUGGCUAGGAAAUAUCUGAGCCAAGAGCACAUUGUUGCUCUACAUAAAUUGUUCCAGGUGUGCAGAAGGCAGGUCUAUGAGGGAAGCUCCAAGGCGCAAAUGUUUGGGCAAAGUGUUAAAAAGGUUGCAAGGAGCACCGAUGACAUGCUCGCAUUGCUCUUUGGCCUGAUGCUGAACCAGAACACAGACUGGUGCAGUUCAAUCAGAGCAGCAAACGCUCCUGCGUGGGAUUGAUCUGUUCUUCCAGCAGUCAAGCGGGAGAGAGCAGCGUUAACAUAAACACCAACCAGCUAGUACAGAUGUUGUUGAGAAAAGCUGAUUCUUCUUCCUCCACGUUUUCUGAACCAAGUAGAUGAUAUUCCAAACGGGACAGCCGGACAUCAGUCCCUGUUCCUGAGAGGCUCCUCGAUUUUCCUGCACUAGAGGAGAAGCUUAGUAAGUUGUGUAUAUACUGAAGUUUUGGCGCAGGAGAGGAAUGUACAUGUGAUGUGAAUCGAUAGGAUUGCAAUCAUCCUUCUGGCCUGAAAUAGUAACAGCUAUUAACUCGAAUCUGUAGCCGUAUUCUUUGUUACACGCAUGCGAGGACUGUAUUGCCACGGCCGCUGAAGUAUUAACUGAUGAAGAUUCUUGUUAACGGCCUUUUUAAUUUGAAGUUACUGCUGAAAUUCUGGCUUUUGAUC